rnacentral:rRNA from 1 species
AUACGUAGGUGACAAGCGUUAUCCGGAUUUACUGGGCGUAAAGGGCGUGUAGGCGGUCUUGCAAGUCAGAAGUGAAAUUCCUGAGCUCAACUCGGGCGCUGCUUCUGAAACUGCAGGACUUGAGUGCUGGAGGGGAUAGCGGAAUUCCUAGUGGAGCGGUAAAAUGCGCAGAUAUUAGGAAGAACACCGGUGGCGAAGGCGGCUAUCUGGACAGUAACUGACGCUGAGGAGCGAAAGUGUGGGGAGCAAACAGGAUUAGAUACCCUGGUAGUCCACACCGUAAACGAUGGAUACUAGGUGUGCGGGGACUGACCCCCUGCGUGCCGCAGUUAACACAAUAAGUAUCCCACCUGGGGAGUACGAUCGCAAGAUUGAAACUCAAAUGAAUUGACGGGG